rnacentral:rRNA from 1 species
GAUGAACGCUGGCGGCGUGCCUAAUACAUGCAAGUCGAGCGGACGGACGAGAAGCUUGCUUUUCUGAUGUUAGCGGCGGACGGGUGAGUCACACGUGGAUAACCUACCUAUAAGACUGGGAUAACUUCGGGAAACCGGAGCUAAUACCGGAUAAUAUUUUGAACCGCAUGGUUCAAAGGUGAAAGACGGUCUUGCUGUCACUUAUAGAUGGAUCCGCGCUGCAUUAGCUGGUUGGUAAGGUAACGGCUUACCAAGGCAACGAUGCAUAGCCGAGCUGAGGGGGUGAUCGGCGACACUGGAACUGAGACAUGGACCAGACUCCUACGGGAGGCAGCAGUAGGGAAUCGUCCGCAAUGGGCGAAAGCCUGACGGAGCAACGCCGCGUGAGUGAUGAAGGUCUUCGGAUCGUAAAACUCUGUUAUGAGGGAAGAACAUAUGUGUAAGUAACUGUGCACAGCUUGACGGUACCUAAUCAGAAAGCCACGGCUAACUACGUG